AGGCGGCUGUGGAGGCUAAGAUAUGGUAUUUUUAAUGGAGAGAUUGAUAGAGUCUUGCUUAGUAAGGGGGACAAAGGUUGCAGGGAGAAGGCAGGAGAAUGGGGUUUGCAGGGAGAGAUAGAUCAGCCAUGAUUGAAUGGCGGAGUAGACUUGCUGGGCC